rnacentral:rRNA from 1 species
UGCAGUGUACCCGCGGCUAGACGGAAAGACCCCGUGAACCUUUACUACAGCUUUGUACUGAAUUUUGAGCAUAUCCGUGCAGGAUAGGUGGGAGGCUUUGAAGCCGAAGCGUCAGCUUUGGUGGAGCCAACCUUGAGAUACCACCCUGAUAUGUUUGGAGUUCUAACCCAGGUCCAUUUAUCUGGAUCGGAGACAGUGCAUGGUGGGUAGUUUGACUGGGGCGGUCUCCUCCCAAAGAGUAACGGAGGAGCACAAAGGUAUCCUAAGUACGGUCGGAAAUCGUGCGCUUAGUGUAAAGGCAUAAGGAUGCUUAACUGCGAGACAGACACGUCGAGCAGGUGCGAAAGCAGGUCUUAGUGAUCCGGUGGUUCUGUAUGGAAGGGCCAUCGCUCAACGAAUAAAAGGUACUCCGGGGAUAACAGGCUGAUACUGCCCAAGAGUCCAUAUCGACGGCAGUGUUUGGCACCUCGAUGUCGGCUCAUCACAUCCUGGGGCUGAAGCAGGUCCCAAGGGUAUGGCUGUUCGCCAUUUAAAGUGGUACGCGAGCUGGGUUUAGAACGUCGUGAGACAGUUCGGUCCCUAUCUACCGUGGGCGUUUGAGACUUGAGGGAAGCUGCUCCUAGUACGAGAGGACCGGAGUGGACAUACCUCUGGUGUUCCGGUUGUCACGCCAGUGGCAUUGCCGGGUAGCUAUGUAUGGACGGGAUAACCGCUGAAAGCAUCUAAGCGGGAAGCCUUUCCCAAGAUAAGGUCUCACUGGGGACUUGAUCCCCCUGAAGGACCCUUGAAGACUACAAGGUUGAUAGGCUGAGUGUGGAAGCAUGGCAACAUGUGAAGCUAAUCAGUACUAAUUGUCCGUGAGGCUUGACCUU